GGGUUCUUGGCAUCAGCCAUCGGUAAUCUACCUUUGCGUGUUGAAGUAUGGUGGUUAUGGGACUUAGUGACUUUCACCAUUGCAGAGUAUUUCAUGCAUCUUGAAAAAAAGUGAGUCUGGAUGUCUCAAAGUCCAGUAAGGUCUUGUCCCUGACUGCUGUUAGGAUGCUUUGUUUGUCUAGGAUGAAGUGACAGCGAACAAUUACAUCUCGCGUAGAUGCAGGUGGC